CUGGCGGCGUGCCUAACACAUGCAAGUCGAACGGGGUUAUACCGAUUAAUCUUCGGAAGCGUUGAUAUAACUUAGUGGCGGACGGGUGAGUAACACGUGAGCAACCUGCCUUUCAGAGGGGGAUACCGUUUGGAAACGAACGUUAAUACCGCAUAACGUAACGGGACCGCAUGAUUCUGUUACCAAAGGAGCGAUCCGCUGAAAGAUGGGCUCGCGGCUGAUUAGAUAGUUGGUGGGGUAACGGCCUACCAAGUCAACGAUCAGUAGCCGGACUGAGAGGUUGAACGGCCACAUUGGGACUGAGACACGGCCCAGACCCCUACGGGAGGCAGCAGUGGGGAGUAUUGCGCAAUGGGGGCAACCCUGAACCGCAGCAACGCCGCGUGUGGGAAGAAGGUCUUCGGAUUGUAAACCAUUGUCUUCGGUGACGAUAAUGACGGUAGCCGAGGAGGAAGCUCCGGCUAACUACGUGCCAGCAGCCGC
rnacentral:rRNA from 1 species